rnacentral:lncRNA from 1 species
AUCGAAUCCUCUUCUCUGGUUUUCUCCCCUUCUCAUCUCCCUCGGUUUGUGUUGACGAACCGUUCUUUUCUUCAUCCUUCUUUGGUUUCUCGAGUGGUCUACGUACCAUAUUAGAGUGGUUUUUCGAAACCAUAUUGAGGUGUUAUUCUCGAGCGAUUUCUGGUGGUGCAGCCUUUAAUCGUACAGAUAGAAUCUGGGCUGUUUUAUCCUGGAGACGGCGCGGUUGCUAGUCUACCUUGCACAAUUUAGGUAGUGCCGCGAAACGUCUUAAAGAAAGCGACCUGGUCGUGACUCAGCCCGGUAAUAGUUUCAAAGCUCUGUCGUAAUUUUAAAUUCCAAAGCAACAUGAUGUCAUGAGCCUGUUUGUGUGUUAAUUUCAAGUUUUCAAUUAAACAGAAGGACUGUGUAGUGAAAUAUUUGUAGUUAUGGACUAAAUCAAAAGGUUCGUAAGUUAUGGUGCCAAUAUGCAAAAUGGUCAAACUUCAAGACGGUUGUAUGUAUUUCCCCCCUAUUUGAUUUGUAAAUUGGUUAAGUUUUUACUACUUUGUUUGUGUAUGCAUUUAUUUACUUACCUCUUCACCUGAUGGGAAAAUGCUUUAGUUGGCGGCAGUCGUGAAAGCGGUAUAUGCCUUUGUUGACAUUAUAAUGCAAUGAAUAUAUGUUGCUCAAAUUUGGUUGAAGUGUUGAACUUUGGUAUCAUCAUGAAACGUGCCCGUAAAUUUGUUUCCCUUUGCUUUUGUUUUUACCUGAAAUAAAGCUUCUGAUGCCUUAGUUAGGGUAAUGUUUUGAAAAUUCUGUUCACAAGAACAAUAUUUUGGAGUGAGGGUUUUCCUAGAGGAGGUUCCAGGCAUUCAUUGAGUUCAUUCACCUGUACCAAUAAUCCAUUUAUGCAGGCGGUACAAAUUCCAAUCCAUUACUUUUUAGUUUUAGCUGAUUUUGCUUACUUGGUUUGUGCUAUCAUGACAGAUUUUGCAAGAUAAAUUUUUUCAUAAUGCACAUUUUUGUCAGUUGUGGGUUCCUUGAAAUCGGAACUUAUUAAAUAUUUUAGUCAAUUAUGGAAAUGCACAGAAAAACCUCUGAAAGGACUAAUGAUUUGGUUAUUUGGGGUGGAAAAUUGGGAGGGGAUGUAUUGUGAAGGGUGAAUAAUCACUCAUUCUAUAGAGGUCAAAUUUUGUGGGGUGAAAUCUAAAUGAGUUGUAUUCUACUAUCAAUUGCUUGACCUAAGUUGUACCAAGAAAGUUUAAAGGAUAUAAAAAUAAACACUGAUGAUUGUGGUGAAAUUCUUAUGGUAAUAGGUACUCUGCAAGGAUGGUUUUGAUUUUGCGGAAGCUCUAUUCUUGACGAGGUAAUGUUUUUCGUGAUCACAUCAUUACCUAAAAUUGGCAGCUGAAACCCAUUAACAUCAUUACUGUUAUAUUUUCUAAUUAUAACUCAUUUCUUUGGUCCCUGCAGAUGGCUUUAUUAUAAACUGAGCAGAAAGUUGAAGAGGAUGAGGAGCCUGAAACUACUGCCAAUAAAAGAGACAGAAGAAAAUUAGAAAUUGACAAUUUUAUUUACUUCAAGGCUAGGGUGCCACAAAGAAUGAUGUAAUAUUCAAUUUUGGUUUAAUGUGAUGUCAUUAUUUGGAGAGGUGGUGUUAAGAACUUUAUGCACACAUUUUGCAUAAAUGAUCACCUUGUAAAUUAUAUAAUCAAUGCAAAUAUGCUUGCGCACAAAAAUCAGUUGCAC